GACAAUCAAGGAGUAUCAAAGGCUCCUCAAGAACAACUGUUCUCUCCUCUCUUAAGGUGAAACCUCUUAAGGUGAAAAGGAAAACUUGGAGGAUGAAGCAAAAUCUAAAGAUUUCCCUCACCAUCUCCUAGGCAAUAUAGAUGGUUAUGAAGGAAUUCUUUCUUCCUCCAUCAGAAGAUCAAAGUGAUCUAUGAUCACCAAUAUUGAAAUGUCACUCUAAGAUCAAUCAUGAGUCUUGAAAGUUUCUCCAACAACAUUUUUCAGCCUUGUACAAGAAAAUGUUCUUCAUUAACAUCUUUCAGCUUUAAAUGAUCAAUCAACCUACAUCGAAAGAUGAAGCAAAUAAGAUUCCCUACUAAUAACAUCUUUUAGCUUUAAGUCAUUCAUGCUUACACCAAAAGAGAAUUCUUUAUAUGCAUGUGAAGUUUCAAAAAAAAAAAAGUCAAAAUCUCUACAGUAACAAAGUGAAUUUUACUAUUUACUAUUUACUAUUCACUAUUUUAUGCACAAAAAAAAAUACUAUUCAUAUAUACAUUUAUACCUCUGGCCAGCUUGAACUCACCCCAAACUGGUAUUCGAUAUAAAGCCGCUUCUCUUCAUGCACGAUAUCUGGUGCAUGUUUCCAUGCUAAUUAAACACAUGUACGUUCAAUACACAGAGAAUGGGCCCAAAAUGAAUAUAUGAUAGAAUAAUUCUGUACAAGCGCCUAGGCCCGUGCACGAUUCCUC
rnacentral:lncRNA from 1 species